CGUCUUUCUGGUGAUGCAAAAGACCUUGCAACUUCUAGACUGCAAGGUCUCUCGAUUGCAAAUGAUGCAAUUAAAUCUUCUGCUCUGAGUGCUGAAGAGAGUGAAUCCCCUGUGGGCAAAGCACAUCAUGCACCUCAUCUCUAUUUCUCUUCCUCAGUCAUGGGAAAUGGGGAAAUGAGAAGUGGGAAUAUGGAAAGGAAACAUCAUGAAAGUUCUGGUUUUAUGGAGAAGAGAGUGUCUUCUGGGCUUCAGCCAGCUCCUGUUGAGGAUAUGAUCCAUGCUGUCUGUAAUGACGCAGAAAACAAGAAGGUGGUCACUAACCAUGAAGUUCUGUCUCCUCUGGGAUCAAAAA
rnacentral:misc_RNA from 1 species